ACGUGAAAGGGGAGCAAUCCCCCGGUAGGGUGGCAAACGGGUGAGUAAUACAUGGGUGAUCUACCUUAGGGAUGGGGAUAUCCUUCCGAAAGGAGGGGCAAUACCGAAUAUUGUCCGGAGCCGUGAAGGGUUCCGGGGAAAGGGAGGCCUCUGAUACAAGCUUUCGCCUUAAGAUGAGCCCAUGGCCCAUCAGCUAGUUGGUAGGGUAAAGGCCUACCAAGGCUACGACGGGUCGCUGGUCUGAGAGGACGACCAGCCACACUGGCACUGAGAUACGGGCCAGACUCCUACGGGAGGCAGCAGUGAGGAAUAUUGCGCAAUGGGGGAAACCCUGACGCAGCAACGCCGCGUGUGGGAAGAAGGCCUUCGGGGUCGUAAACCACUUUUGCACGGGACGAAAAAGGGGNUAUCGAACAAAUAUCCCCGAUGACGGUACCGUGAGAAUAAGCCACGGCUAACUCUGUGCCAGCAGCCGCGGUAAGACAGAGGU
rnacentral:rRNA from 1 species